rnacentral:rRNA from 1 species
CGAUUUGGGAUAAGUCCCUUGGAAAAGGGCAGCACAGAGGGUGAUACUCCCGUCUUUGCUCAGAUUGUCUAUGUGUACGAUACGCUUUCUUUGAGUCGAGUUGUUUGGGAAUACAGCUCAAAGUAGGUGGUAAAUUCCAUCUAAAGCUAAAUAUUGGUGCGAGACCGAUAGCGAACAAGUACCGUGAGGGAAAGAUGAAAAGAACUUUGAAAAGAGAGUUAAAGAGUACCUGAAACUGUUGAAAGGGAACCGUAACAUGUCCAGUGUUGUAUCUCGUGCAUAUUUCAUUAGUGGAGUAAUUUACUGGUGCCCUGUGCAUGAGUGUGACGUCAAAGUCAGUUUGUAUGCUGCGGGAGAUGGGUAGCAAGGAGGUGCGUCACUUUGUGUCAGUUAUACCUUGUUAUCUAGUAGCCGUGGUUGAGACUGAGGUGCCUACAACAUGCUUAUAGAGUAUAUUGUUGUCUCGUUAUUAUAUCUGUUUGGAUAGCUUGCUAUGCUGAUGGACUAUAGUGGCGAUUGACGAUGGUAUUAACUUUUUGCUGUUCGGGACUUUGACGAAAUGGAAUGUUACGACCCGUCUUGAAACACGGACCAAGGAGUCUAACAUGUGUGCAAGUAUUAGGGUGUGGAAACCCAAAUGCGUAAUGAAAGUAAAUGCUACCUGUGUAGCUUUGGUAGGAAAGGGCUGUCAUGGUCCUGGCACUAUCGACCGAUCAUGAACCUACGGGUGAAAGAUUUGAGUAUGAGCAUAUAUGUUGGUACCCGAAAGAUGGUGAACUAUGCCUGAAUAGAGUGAAGCCAGGGGAAACUCUGGUGGAAGCUCGUAGCGAUUCUGACGUGCAAAUCGAUCGUCAAAUUUGGGUAUAGGGGCGAAAGACUAAUCGAACCAUCUAGUAGCUGGUUCCCUCCGAAAUUUCCCUCAGGAUAG